UGGAACACGCCACGUAAAACAAGUUCGGACGGAUCCGAAAGUCGUCGUCAUUGUCCCUAUCUACUAUCUAGCGAAACCACAGCCAAGGGAACGGGCUUGGAAUAAUUAGCGGGGAAAGAAGACCCUUUUGAGCUUGACUCUAAUCUGGCAGUGUAAGGAGACAUAAGAGGUGUAGAAUAAGUGGGAGAUAUUAGUCCCCGGUUUGGUAUCGUCAAUGAAAUACCACUACUCUUAUUGUUUCCUUACUUACUUGAUUAAAUGGAACGUGUAUCAUUUCCUAGCCAUUAUACGGAUAUAUUUAUUAUAUCUUAUGGUAUUGGGUUUUGAUGCAAGCUUCUUGAUCAAAGUAUCACGAGUUUGUUAUAUAAUCGCAAACAAAUUAUUUAAUAAAACAAUGCAUUUAUGUAUUUUUGAUUUGAAAAUUUGGUAUAACUCCAAUUACUCAGGUAUGAUCCAAUUCAAGGACAUUGCCAGGUAGGGAGUUUGACUGGGGCGGUACAUCUCUCAAAUAAAAACGGAGGUGUCCCAAAGCCAGCUCAGUGCGGACAGAAACCACACAUAGAGCAAAAGGGCAAAUGCUGACUUGAUCUCGGUGUUCAGUACACACAGGGACAGCAGAAGCUCGGCCUAUCGAUCCUUUUGGUUUUGGUUUAAAGAGUUUUUAACAAGAGGUGUCAGAAAAGUUACCAUAGGGAUAACUGGCUUGUGGCGGCCAAGCGUUCAUAGCGACGUCGCUUUUUGAUCCUUCGAUGUCGUCUCUUCCUAUCAUUGUGAAGCAAAAUUCACCAAGCGUUGGAAGGAAACUAAAACACCAUAACGAGCCCGGUUAGAUAUACCCUACUAAUACAAAUCGCAGUUCGAUAGCAU
rnacentral:ncRNA from 1 species